AAAUUGAAGAGUUUGAUCAUGGCUCAGAUUGAACGCUGGCGGCAGGCCUAACACAUGCAAGUCGAACGGUAACAGGAAACAGCUUGCUGUUUCGCUGACGAGUGGCGGACGGGUGAGUAAUGUCUGGGAAACUGCCUGAUGGAGGGGGAUAACUACUGGAAACGGUAGCUAAUACCGCAUAACGUCGCAAGACCAAAGAGGGGGACCUUCGGGCCUCUUGCCAUCGGAUGUGCCCAGAUGGGAUUAGCUUGUUGGUGGGGUAACGGCUCACCAAGGCGACGAUCCCUAGCUGGUCUGAGAGGAUGACCAGCCACACUGGAACUGAGACACGGUCCAGACUCCUACGGGAGGCAGCAGUGGGGAAUAUUGCACAAUGGGCGCAAGCCUGAUGCAGCCAUGCCGCGUGUAUGAAGAAGGCCUCGGGUUGUAAAGUACUUUCAGCGGGGAGGAAGGGAGUAAAGUUAAUACCUUUGCUCAUUGACGUUACCCGCAGAAGAAGCACCGGCUAACUCCGUGCCAGCAGCCGCGGUAAUACGGAGGGUGCAAGCGUUAAUCGGAAUUACUGGGCGUAAAGCGCACGCAGGCGGUUUGUUAAGUCAGAUGUGAAAUCCCCGGGCUCAACCUGGGAACUGCAUCUGAUACUGGCAAGCUUGAGUCUCGUAGAGGGGGGUAGAAUUCCAGGUGUAGCGGUGAAAUGCGUAGAGAUCUGGAGGAAUACCGGUGGCGAAGGCGGCCCCCUGGACGAAGACUGACGCUCAGGUGCGAAAGCGUGGGGAGCAAACAGGAUUAGAUACCCUGGUAGUCCACGCCGUAAACGAUGUCGACUUGGAGGUUGUGCCCUUGAGGCGUGGCUUCCGGAGCUAACGCGUUAAGUCGACCGCCUGGGGAGUACGGCCGCAAGGUUAAAACUCAAAUGAAUUGACGGGGGCCCGCACAAGCGGUGGAGCAUGUGGUUUAAUUCGAUGCAACGCGAAGAACCUUACCUGGUCUUGACAUCCACGGAAGUUUUCAGAGAUGAGAAUGUGCCUUCGGGAACCGUGAGACAGGUGCUGCAUGGCUGUCGUCAGCUCGUGUUGUGAAAUGUUGGGUUAAGUCCCGCAACGAGCGCAACCCUUAUCCUUUGUUGCCAGCGGUCCGGCCGGGAACUCAAAGGAGACUGCCAGUGAUAAACUGGAGGAAGGUGGGGAUGACGUCAAGUCAUCAUGGCCCUUACGACCAGGGCUACACACGUGCUACAAUGGCGCAUACAAAGAGAAGCGACCUCGCGAGAGCAAGCGGACCUCAUAAAGUGCGUCGUAGUCCGGAUUGGAGUCUGCAACUCGACUCCAUGAAGUCGGAAUCGCUAGUAAUCGUGGAUCAGAAUGCCACGGUGAAUACGUUCCCGGGCCUUGUACACACCGCCCGUCACACCAUGGGAGUGGGUUGCAAAAGAAGUAGGUAGCUUAACCUUCGGGAGGGCGCUUACCACUUUGUGAUUCAUGACUGGGGUGAAGUCGUAACAAGGUAACCGUAGGGGAACCUGCGGUUGGAUCACCUCCUUACCUUAAAGAAGC
rnacentral:rRNA from 1 species